rnacentral:lncRNA from 1 species
CUAAGGGAGGGACACUCACACUCUGCCUUAAGAUGCGCAUAGGUAAUCAGCCCCGGAUUCCUUCAGCAUCUCAAUCACACCCUCCAGUACCUGGCUCUUGCCAUCUUUCUGUGCUGGCACCGUCAGCUUUCUGGUGAGACUUGUGCCUCAUAGUCUCGUUGUGGUUGCCACAGCUCAAACUAUCACAACCUCAUAUUAUACAAAGAAGGAAACAAGAGAGAACAGGCUUUCUUCCCCAGCCUUUUUCUUUUUAUCCAAAAUGUGUUUAUUGGAUCGGCUUCCUAUUCCUCUUGACUCAGGGUACCGUUAGUGUCGCUUGCUCCCCCUGGAGGAGCAUCCUUCUGUGAGCCUUGCUUUUCCUCCCGUAGGCUGGCAGAGGACAGUGGAGCAGGUGAACACAGAACUACCGUCUGUGCACGUCUGAAGAUAGUGGGGAUUUUAUAGCAUCCUGGGUACCUCGCGUCCAUGAAGUAGAAACUGGGGCUCUGCCCCAGGUACUCCUUGUGUUUCCUCUUCUCCUUGUCUGGAGAGGGUGAAGGAGAUCUUUUGAGAGAGGCGUGUUCUUGUGGGGAGGUCGUCACCACUGGAAAGUCCCCCAGCUUUUACCAGGGAACCGGCGGGUGCCCCAAGGCUACAAGCAGCUGAUUCCAAAACUGGUUUUAUUCCUUCUUCGUCGUGUGACCCUAACAUGUAACUCUAACAUGCCUGAAUCCUCCAAAGCCCAGCCUGGUGGUGACGCCUGUAAGCCCAGCACUCGGGCUGAGGCGGGACAGCCUGCAUUAUACAGGAAGGACCUUGUCUCCAAAAAACCAAAAAAUAAAUAACUCCUCCGAGCC